ACAGAUUCCAUCAACUUGAUGCCCAUCAUAUGUACCUGUAUUUUUCGGACUAUAAGACGCACAAGAGUAUAAGACACACCAAGAUUUCGAAGAGGAAAACAAGAAAAAAAAAUAGUUUUUGGCCUCAGCGCCAGAGGGUGAAUAUAUUGCUAUGUGGAGACAAGCAUUUCAUCAAAUCACAGACUCUGGAAAAGACCUGUGAUUUCAGGGUCUUAUUUUAAGAUUAAUUAUGAACAUCAAGAUAAAGGUUCUUCUGCAACCUUUGUGUCAUGGCAUGAACGAUAUGUAGAAAAUAUGGCUCUACAAGCAGCAUAUCAACACUUGGAUAAUCCUCCUAACAGCAUUAUU